UGUGGUAAAACAUUGUUCUUUAAUGGACAAGAAGACCAUUUGGUGCCUUCCACUUCUCGGCUCUUACUGGAUAGUGACCUUUUCCGUGUCAUUGGGCGCAUGAUUGGACAUUCCUUCCUGCACGGUGGACCCUUACUCACCGGUUUGAGCCACUCAUUUUUCAAUCUGUUGAUUGAACAGAAGGAUGAGAUAGCUGUUGUAGAACUAGAGGACUGCCCUGACACCGAUGUGACUGAUAUUGUUUUACUUCUUCAAGGGUCUGGAAAUUUGACAGAAGAUGAACAUGACCAAGUAAAUAACUUGGCAAUCAACUGGGAUCUCUCACCAGUAAAUGAGAACAACAGAAAAUGGUUGGCACAAAGCAUCCUUUACCAUGCAGUCAUUGGUCGGAGGGAAAAGCAAAUUCGACAGAUCAGACUGGGGUUAAAAGACACAGGAGUCUUGCAUAUGAUCAAAGAACGGCCUGCCCUGACUGAUGUUCUUUUUCCAAGAGCGUAAGCUCAAAUGAUUGAGCGAGAGAUGGUCCUCGACAGAAUUAUAUGGCCAACAGUUGACAGUGACGAUGAAGACUAUGGUGGCUAUAGUCUGGAGGACACAUUCAAGAUAACUGGUUUCUUUCGUCAGUACAUUGA